GGUAUCAGAAGUGCGAAUGCUGACAUAAGUAACGAUAAAGCGGGUGAAAAGCCCGCUCGCCGGAAGACCAAGGGUUCCUGUCCAACGUUAAUCGGGGCAGGGUGAGUCGACCCCUAAGGCGAGGCCGAAAGGCGUAGUCGAUGGGAAACGGGUUAAUAUUCCCGUACUUGGUGUUACUGCGAAGGGGGGACGGAGAAGGCUAUGUUGGCCGGGCGACGGUUGUCCCGGUUUAAGCGUGUAGGUGUGUGUUCCAGGUAAAUCCGGUUCACUUUAACACUGAGGCGUGAUGACGAGGCACUACGGUGCUGAAGCAACAAAUGCCCUGCUUCCAGGAAAAGCCUCUAAGCAUCAGGUAACAUCAAAUCGUACCCCAAACCGACACAGGUGGUCAGGUAGAGAAUACCAAGGCGCUUGAGAGAACUCGGGUGAAGGAACUAGGCAAAAUGGUGCCGUAACUUCGGGAGAAGGCACGCUGACAUGUAGGUGAAGUGAUUUACUCAUGGAGCUGAAGUCAGUCGAAGAUACCAGCUGGCUGCAACUGUUUAUUAAAAACACAGCACUGUGCAAACACGAAAGUGGACGUAUACGGUGUGACGCCUGCCCGGUGCCGGAAGGUUAAUUGAUGGGGUCAGCGCAAGCGAAGCUCCUGAUCGAAGCCCCGGUAAACGGCGGCCGUAACUAUAACGGUCCUAAGGUAGCGAAAUUCCUUGUCGGGUAAGUUCCGACCUGCACGAAUGGCGUAAUGAUGGCCAGGCUGUCUCCACCCGAGACUCAGUGAAAUUGAACUCGCUGUGAAGAUGCAGUGUACCCGCGGCAAGACGGAAAGACCCCGUGAACCUUUACUAUAGCUUGACACUGAACAUUGAGCCUUGAUGUGUAGGAUAGGUGGGAGGCUUUGAAGUGUGGACGCCAGUCUGCAUGGAGCCGACCUUGAAAUACCACCCUUUAAUGUUUGAUGUUCUAACGUGGACCCGUGAUCCGGGUUGCGGACAGUGUCUGGUGGGUAGUUUGACUGGGGCGGUCUCCUCCUAAAGAGUAACGGAGGAGCACGAAGGUUGGCUAAUCCUGGUCGGACAUCAGGAGGUUAGUGCAAUGGCAUAAGCCAGCUUGACUGCGAGCGUGACGGCGCGAGCAGGUGCGAAAGCAGGUCAUAGUGAUCCGGUGGUUCUGAAUGGAAGGGCCAUCGCUCAACGGAUAAAAGGUACUCCGGGGAUAACAGGCUGAUACCGCCCAAGAGUUCAUAUCGACGGCGGUGUUUGGCACCUCGAUGUCGGCUCAUCACAUCCUGGGGCUGAAGUAGGUCCCAAGGGUAUGGCUGUUCGCCAUUUAAAGUGGUACGCGAGCUGGGUUUAGAACGUCGUGAGACAGUUCGGUCCCUAUCUGCCGUGGGCGCUGGAGAACUGAGGGGGGCUGCUCCUAGUACGAGAGGACCGGAGUGGACGCAUCACUGGUGUUCGGGUUGUCAUGCCAAUGGCACUGCCCGGUAGCUAAAUGCGGAAGAGAUAAGUGCUGAAAGCAUCUAAGCACGAAACUUGCCCCGAGAUGAGUUCU
rnacentral:rRNA from 1 species